ensembl:scaRNA
GUCUCUUCCUACAGCAGUGGUGCAGGGAGGAGCCCCUCUUGCAGCCAGUGGGAGAGACUAAACAAAAACCAGAGGAAAGUUGUCGUGGCUGCCAGGAGCUUGUGGCUGCCAUGUUUUCCUGCCUCUUACAUUG